UACAGAGGUGACUAACGUUGUCCGGAAUUAUUGGGCGUAAAGGGCGCGUAGGCGGUUCGGUAAGUCAGAUGUGAAAUGUCCGGGCUCAACCCGGAAGUUGCAUCUGAUACUGCUGGACUUGAGUACGGUAGAGGAAGGUGGAAUUCCCAGUGUAGCGGUGAAAUGCGUAGAUAUUGGGAGGAACACCGGUGGCGAAGGCGGCCUUCUGGACCGAGACUGACGCUGAAGCGCGAAAGCUAGGGGAG
rnacentral:rRNA from 1 species